AGCUUUAUAGUCAAUAUAAUGAUAUUAAAUUGCAAAUUUAAAGUAGUAGAUUACUAAAGCUU
rnacentral:tRNA from 1 species